rnacentral:lncRNA from 1 species
GAGAGAACUUGUUUUCUUAUAUUAUCACAAAAAGAUCCAUCAGGCUACAACAACACACAACAAGUGUAAAGUUUCUUGGCUCUACUAAAAACUCAAAAGUCAAAGUUGGAUCAAUCAUCACCAUAGGCCUUGAAACAAUACCGCUCAAUAUAAGGAGCGUUAAAGAAAAGAUCAGCUUCCAACCAUUUCGGAUACCGAACAAGAUCUCCAGCUAAAAACUGCAUAUACCUCUUGCUUCCUUCGGGAACAACUCGAACCUCUCCUUGUUCAAUGUAAACCAACUGAUCCACCUGCCAAUCCCAUGGCAAUUUGCAUUUCCCUGUCUUCCAAACUGACCAUCUCGAAACCCCAAGUUCCUCCAACCGUUUCUGUGAAACUUUCCGUUCCACUUUAACAUUGUAUAGCUCCUCUAAUGGUUUCUCUGUCUGCAUACAAGUCACCCUAAAGGCUCUUUGAACUGACAGGUUAUUUGUCUUCUUACAUGUAGUGACAGAACCUGGGAAUGGUGUAGUCAUUAUCAGACUUGCCAUGGCUGCUUUUAUCCAAUCUUGUCAAACCUGAGAUCCACAAUGAACUUUAAAUAACACAUAUCGAAAACAUUGUGAUGUGUUAAAGUCUUGUAACUCCUGAAACAGAGAAAGAAGGUGAAUUUCUUAACUCUAGUGAGUAAAAGUGAAUUAUAUUGUAAAGCUGAAGGCUUUAUCAUUUACCCUCUUUGCAAUAGCUUAUAUGAAUCAAUGACACAGCGUAACACAAAAACUCACAAUUCAGGAAAUUAGCUAAUGCCCAUUUGCUAUUUCGAUUGGAAAAGUGAAAACUCAUCGCAAAAUUGAUGAUAUACGAAUUUAACCCAACAAGCAAAAAAAAGGUUGUCGAUUUCAAAACCAAAAAAAAAAGCGGAAGACAGAUUAUACGCAUCGAAAUCGAAUUUCUUACCAGCGGAAGUGUGAGUGAGAGUAACCCUUAAACCCUGAAGCAGUCAGGCUUAUCCGAUCCCC